AUAUCAGUCAUGCAUAGCAUAUCAAUAAGCGGAGGAAAAGAAACUAACAAGGAUUCCCUUAGUAACGGCGAGUGAAGCGGGAAGAGCUCAAAUUUGAAAUCUUCAAGGUUUUACCUUGACGAAUUGUAGUUUAAAGAAGUGUUUUCUGUUGAAGUUUUGGUAAAAGUUCUUUGGAAUAGGACAUCAUAGAGGGUGAGAAUCCCGUAUUUGACCAUUACUUUCAGCUUUGUGAUACACUUUCAAAGAGUCGGAUUGUUUGGGAAUGCAGUCCAAAAUGGGUGGUAAAUUUCAUCUAAAGCUAAAUAUUGGCGAGAGACCGAUAGCGAACAAGUACCGUGAGGGAAAGAUGAAAAGAACUUUGAAAAGAGAGUUAAACAGUACGUGAAAUUGUCAAAAGGGAAGCGUUUGACACCAGUGUUGUUUUCUCGAAAAUCAAUUAAAAAGAGUUGGAUUUUGUGUUGUAUUGACUUUAUCAGCUUUCUUCACUCUUUUCCAGCUUUUUUUAAUGCACUUUUCGUUUAACAAGUCAACAUCAGUUUCUUUUGUUGUAAAAAGGUCAUUGGAAGGUGGCUUUCUCUUCGGAGAAAGUGUUUAUAGCCUUUGACUCAUGCAAUCGGAGAGACUGAGGUCUGCAGCGUAGAUCCUUCGGGGUUAGAUACAUUUGUGCUAAGUUAUAGCUUUUCAUAGACAACUUGUUGACUAUGUUUAGUCUUGUAGCUUACUCGCUUACGCUAUUUUACCUACGCUUAGGAUGUUGAACUCUAUCACACACAG
rnacentral:rRNA from 1 species